AGCAGAGCAGCUCCCUCCCUGCCAUCUAUUGCAAGUCACCCCUGGACACAAGGGU
rnacentral:rRNA from 1 species